UUUAAAAAAAAAAUACUUGAGGAGAAAAGGGUAAAAGAUUUUCACACCGCCCGCAAAGGAUGUUGUAAAAACAUUUCAAUCAUAUUAUUAGUACACCUUCUUCAGACAAUUUAUCUUGUGCUUUCCAUCAGUAUUAAAUGACAUUAUUUAUUUAAUAUGUUAUAUGGUCCAUAUUAACUUCCCAGUUUAAUCUCUGUUUUAUUAGUCUUUUUUAUUAUUUUUAUUUCUGCAAAACAUGUCAGUUGAUUAAUGCAGGUUUCCUUUGCUGGGGCUGUCAGUUAUAAAAAGCAGAGGCAACUUAGCAUUCAAAAAAGAGGAGAGAAGAGGAGAGAGAGAUGAGGAGAGAGGAGAAGACAGAUGAGGAGAGGAGAGAGGAGAGGAGAGAGAGAGAUGAGGAGAGGGGGAAGAGAGCAGCAGUUGAGAGAUAGCAGAGGUAACGUAGAAGGAAGGCAGAGGAGAGGAGAAGAGAAGAGAGAAGGAGGAGAGGAGAAAAGAGGAGAGCAGCAGUUGAGAGAGAUGUGGACUGUAGAAGAGAGAGGUGAAGAAAAGGAUAGAGGGAGAGAGAAAUAGAUAGAUAUAGAACCCACACCAACACACAGCAAUAAAAGAUCAGCAUUGUGAUGGAGAGCCAGAGACAGAAAUAAAGAGGUCGGACUCGAGAUGGGUCAUGGUGCUCAGGUCUUGCAUUGGAUACUCUCUUACCCACAGAGGAACAGACAGCCAAGGAGACAUGACGAUACCAAGGAGACAUGACGAUACCAAGGUGACAUGACAUUACCAAGGUGACAUUACCAAGGUGACAUGACAUUACCAAGGUGACAUGACAUUACCAAGGUGACAUUACCAAGGUGACAUGACAUUACGAAGGUGACAACGUUGCCAAGGAGACAUGAUGUUACCAAGGUGACAUUACCAAGGAGACAU